UUCACAGCAGGGUUGGGGUACUUGGGGUACCGCGCUAGGAAUUUGUGGCAUAGCAACCCCAAGCUCUUCUCCUUCCGACUCGGCUGGGAUUUCUCAAAUUCGUCUCCUGAUAAGUGUUCCUGCAGAGGGAAAGCAGGUCAACAGCCUUCCAACAGCUCCGGGCUCCACACUGACCGUCCCUUCAUCCACAAGCCCCCAAACGCCACCCAGCCUCCCUGUAAACCUACGUGCAAACAGUCUCUAGCUUCAGACAUUGCCUCUAGGCAGACCGCGCCAACAGACAGCAGUAAAUUCCUCCAUCAAACCCUUCUGUCACGAGACUUCAAGCAAACACAGAAUCUACAGUGACAGUCCUCUCUCAGGUUCGAGAUGGCUGUAGCAAGCACCCACCUGUGCACUGAUCCGGGCUGCGGACGGAGCGCACGAGCCCGGGUUCCGAUGGAGCACGCACCGAG
rnacentral:lncRNA from 1 species